GGCUCAGGAUGAACGCUGGCGGCGUGCUUAACACAUGCAAGUCGAACGAUGAUGCCCACUUGUGGGUGGAUUAGUGGCGAACGGGUGAGUAACACGUGAGUAACCUGCCCUUGACUCUGGGAUAAGCCUGGGAAACUGGGUCUAAUACCGGAUAUGACCUUCCAUCGCAUGGUGGUUGGUGGAAAGCUUUUGUGGUUUUGGAUGGACUCGCGGCCUAUCAGCUUGUUGGUGGGGUAAUGGCCUACCAAGGCGACGACGGGUAGCCGGCCUGAGAGGGUGACCGGCCACACUGGGACUGAGACACGGCCCAGACUCCUACGGGAGGCAGCAGUGGGGAAUAUUGCACAAUGGGCGCAAGCCUGAUGCAGCGACGCCGCGUGAGGGAUGACGGCCUUCGGGUUGUAAACCUCUUUCAGUAGGGAAGAAGCGUAAGUGACGGUACCUGCAGAAGAAGCGCCGGCUAACUACGUGCCAGCAGCCGCGGUAAUACGUAGGGCGCAAGCGUUAUCCGGAAUUAUUGGGCGUAAAGAGCUCGUAGGCGGUUUGUCGCGUCUGCCGUGAAAGUCCGGGGCUCAACUCCGGAUCUGCGGUGGGUACGGGCAGACUAGAGUGAUGUAGGGGAGACUGGAAUUCCUGGUGUAGCGGUGAAAUGCGCAGAUAUCAGGAGGAACACCGAUGGCGAAGGCAGGUCUCUGGGCAUUAACUGACGCUGAGGAGCGAA
rnacentral:rRNA from 1 species